rnacentral:tRNA from 1 species
CCCGGUGUGGCGCAGGGGUAUCGGGGGCGCGCGGGGUUGACGGCGGCGCGGUUCGUGGCCGAUCCGUUCGGCGCACCGGGGC